GUGCUUGCUUCGGUAAGCACAGAUACUAGAACUGGAAUGACACACAGAUGUUCCGCACAGCCCCUGUGCAAGGCUGACACCACAGAUUUGUCUUCCAUAUUUUU